CUUGGUUUGCAGUUGUAGUCAAGAGCAUUUUGGUGUUGGUAUUUGGUUUUUUAAUUUAAGGCAAAGUUAUAGAAUACUUAUAUUAUAUUUUUGCUUAAAUAGAUCUUUGGUGGUUUAAUUUUAUAGUUUCAUGUCUUAAUGAUACUGAUAGUGCUUAAAAGGUCUCUUAUGGUGUAUAGAGGUGAUUUGUGAAUAUAAAAGUGAUAUUUGAGUCG
rnacentral:lncRNA from 1 species